GUGAUUUCUUAGGACUUUAAUAGUAUAGCUGAUGUUAGGUCAUUAAUGAGGGCAGAUUUAAAAUGGAAGCCUGAGAAUGUGAUUUUAAGUGUAUUUUUUCUCCUCUAUAUAAGAGUUGUAAAAUGGAAAUCUAUCAAUUACCUGCUUAAGAAUCUCUCGUAGCUUCCUUUUGCCUAGCAUAUAAAAUCUGAACUGAAUCUUUUAUUCAAUAACUGACAUCAAUGUUUUCUUCUUUUCUCAUUCUUCUUAAUACUUUUUCAGCUCAAGUCAGACUAUUUUCAAGUCUGGAUUUUUUUUUCAGCCCUACCUUUGUAUUGUCAUCCAUAUUGUCUGUCUGCCUGAACCUCUUUAUUUUUCUAUCAACCCCUAUUUUUCUCCAUCUUAAAGCUCUAAUUCGUAGCCCUGCUCUAGGAGGCCCUCCAUGAUUGAUACUAACUGUGGCUGUUGUUUGGUUCUUGGCUUGGUUGGUUUUUAUUACUCUGGGCCCCCUCUUCUAGCUCUUUUAUUAAUACCUCAGAGAAUAGUUUGCAAAAACUAUGGCAACUUUACUAAUAUUUAGCUUUCAUCAUGGACUUAAUGGCAAAUGAGUGACAAACUUGUCUCCCUUGACAGUAGGCAUGAUUUCUGCUGCCUAUUGAAUUUCAAUGCUAUUGUGUUCUAUUUAAAAUUACUAAAACUCUCAUUUAUCUAUGAAGCCCUUAGCCCCACAGAUCUGCCUCAUGUGCUCAGUUUGUCUGUUUUAUAGUGUCUGUGCUCCUCAGGAGUCUAGAUAUUUUGGCCUGUGAAAACUUUCUCCCCUAGGGGUUUUGAUGACACCAUUUUAUGGUGAGGUGUCUCCUCUGGUAAGUUCUGAAUAUGGUGACACAUACAUUUAUUAAAUUAAUUUUUAAAAUUAGAAAUACAUAAACAUGUUAAAAAUCUCAACUGUUGUAUAGUGAAAUGCAAUCUUCCUUCCUCUUCUUCCUCCAGUCUCCUAGUUUCCCCGUCCAGAAGCAGUUACAGUUGUGUGCCACCUUCUAGAAAAAUUCACUGCAUAUACAAGAGAGGGGGAGAAAGCUAUGGAUUUUACUGGUUCACUUAAUAUAUUUGGAGCUUGUGUCCUAUCACUCAUAUUUUUAAGGACAUAUAGGAUUCCACUUUUUGAAUGUACCUUAAUUUCUUUAACCAGUUCUGUACUGAUGGGCAUUUAUCAUAUUAUCACUUUUCAUUCUUAUAAGCAGUACGUAUACAGUUUUGAAAAUGUAGAUGAUAUCUGUUGCAUAGACUACUAAAAAUAAAGUUGCUCAGCCAAAGGGAAGCACAUUUUAAAUUUUUAUGAAUUUGGGUAAAUUUCCCUUCAAUGAAGUUGCAUCAAUUUCCAUUCCCACCAAGAAUAUGUGACAGCUGUAUCUGGCAAACAUAUGUAUUUCCCUGGAACUUUGAUCUAUUUGAAAGAAGACUAGGAACACAUUUACAGUACUGUUACCAACAUCUUCUUCACUUUUGAUUUUUCUGUAAUUCUCCCUGCCAAAAUUUAACAGAACGCUGUCAUUUUCCUGACUCAUCGUCCUUUUAUUUCCACUUUGUAAAAAUGUCUGUGUUUGGUUUUAUGUUUUUAGGGGUGGCAUAGAAUCUUCCACCAGAACCCUGGAAGUGUAGGUCAGGAUGUUAGAAAUUCUUCUAAUAAAUAGUGUCCAGGAAACACUUCAUUAGAGUAAUUCUCUGGCACAGGGAGUCCUGGGUGGUGGCUCUUGUGACAAGCCCCUUUACCUAUGGUAUGUUGGAAAUUUAACCACAACCUUAGGGCAUGCAAUGAUUGUCUUUCCUUUAGGUGUUUAACUCAUAUAAUGUCUUAAAGAUAAAUGGCACCAGUAAUAUUUUAACAAUGUUCGGGUAUCCUUUGUUUCCAUAGUUACCUGGGUUUCUGUUAGCUUAAGACUUUAGAUGUGUAGCUUCAAACUCUGGGUUCUUCUUCAACUAGGUCAAGAGUUCACACAUUUUUCCACCCACUGGGCAGGCAAACCAAGUUGUAAUUGUUGCUUAUGAAGAGGAUCCUCAAAUGGUACAACACUCAAUUAGGUUAGAUUAAAUUCAGAGCAAUAAAAUAUUUCUGAGUAUGUUCUCAGAGAAACCCACAUCUUAGUUUUCCUUAUCUGAGAUCAUCUUUACCAGUUAAGAGGGCACACUUCAAAUAAUACAAACAUUCUUUAUAAAUUCAUUAUUUCCUAAAUCCCUUCCUAGUUUCAGUUUUGAUGAGCUCUUUUCAUAACUCUAGGUACUUUAGAUAUGCUUCUCUCAGCCUCGAUUUGGCUUUUAGGCUAAAGGGUUUUCCUAAUCACAGCAAGUGGGUCAAAAAUUAGGAUAGGCUUCCCAUGAAAGACUAAGUACAAUAAUUGAACAAAAGGGGUGAAAGUUGAUUAAAGUGAUGCGAGGAGUAAAUGGAUUCACUUUUACAGGAUCUUCUGAAAUCUGAGAUAAAGGACUGACUCCUUGGCUAAUCUCAGUGCAAUUACCUACUCAUGGAGAUCAAUACUUUUUUACUAUUAAAAAAUAGUGAAAAUUUUUAAGAUUGGUUAAGGAAGAGUAAUGUGUUAUUAGGGGAGGCAAGGAAAACUUAGAUCUAAUUUAGAUUUCUAUGAAAACAGUGGGCAUCAAUAGGAGAACAUAAAAAAGAGACGUGAGUAUUAGGAAAAUACCAAAAGGUUUGGUUAGAAACAAAUCCUCUUGUGAUAGGAGAUAAGACUGAAGACCAAACAGAAAUUAUAACUGCAUAGAUCUUGGUUUUAUUCAUUCAUUUGCUCAUUCAGCCUGUUCACUGGCUCCAACAUAGCUCUUGAUUCUAUCCCAUGUGACAUAUUCAUUGACCAACCAUGUGUUUUGGACAGAUCAGCAGCUAGAGAUCCAAAAACGACUGGUUAGAUGGAAUGUCUUAGGAAAUAGUGUCAUCAGUGGUGUACAAAAUGGUAUUAAACUUUCCCUGGAUGAUGGAUUAAAGAGAGAACAAAUUAAAGGCAUAGAUAUAGCCAUCUGCUAAUCAGGGUUUCACAAGGCAUCUGUACCUUAGGCCAUUCCUUUUGGGAUUUCCACUUGCAAAAAAUAUAGUGAAAUAAAACUUAAACUGAAUAGAAGAAAGAAUUUCUUAGACUCAUUCACAUUCAAUCAAUGUUUACUGAGUGCCUAAUAUGUGCCAAAUAUUAUACUAAAAUGCCGAGGAUACAGCAGAGGGACAAAAAUUCCCUGCAUUUGUGGUGCUUACAUUUUACUGAUACAGUUAAUGAAGAUCAUAAAAAUUUUAAACACUGGAGCAGUGAAGUGAGAUUAGGAAUCCCUGUGCCUUUAAAGAUUGAGAGACUAUCAUUUCCUUGGAAAGAAUUAUGUAUUAUCUUGCAUGUAUGUGUGAAGGCAAAUGAGUAAAGGAAAUGCUUCUUCAGCAACCUCUUUCAAUUCUCUAAAGUUAUUUUCAUUACCUAAAUAUUAAAGAGUGAGAAGGACUUGAGGGGAAAAAAAAUAAAGCUUUUUUUUUGUUGUUUUUUUGAGACAGGGUCUCACACUGUCACCAAGGCUGGAGUGCAGUGGUGCAAUCUCAGCUCACUGCAGCCUUGAUGUCCUGGGCUCAAUCAAUCCUCCCUCCUCAGCCUCCAGAGUAGCUGGGACCACAGGCAUGCGCCACCGUGCCUAGUUAAUUAUAAAACUUUUUUUAGAGAUGGAGUUUUGCUGUGUUUCCUAGGCUGGUCUCAAAUUCCUGUGCUCAAGUGAUAUGCCCACCUCAGGCUCCCAAAGUGCUGGGAUGACAGGCGCGAGCCACUGCACCUGGCCAAAAUAAAGCUUGACCUGAGUUGAUAUGAGGGUGAUGAGACUGAGUAAAAAGCCCAUAGGAUUCCAGCCUGUGUUCAUAAGAAGAAGCAUUUUAAUGGAGAGACUUUUUGUGAUGCGUGUACAGAGGACAUUAUUAGUGAAAUAACAGCAAACUUGCUAUUAAUGAGAUCUGCUCAAAAUCUCUAUGAGGUAGUGAAUGCCCCAUCAUGAAGAUUUUCAUGCAGAAUUGGGAUGACCUCUGUUCUUCAGGUAGGAACUUGGAUUAGAUAUGUCUAGGAUUUCUUCCAGUUGAAGUUCCUGUGAUUCUACAAUAGGGUAGUCUGAGGAUCAAGAUACAAAUUUCUUCUCUUAUCUUAAAAUGGACUUAAUUUGCGUUUAGAUAAAUUGCAAUGUUCUGGCUAGAUCCAAAUUUCUAAAAUGAGGAAUAUUAAAAGUCUAACCAUUACAACUCUACUGGCCAGUGUGAUUCAUGCAUCAUUUUCAGAGAAGAGAAUAGCUGCUUAGAUACUGAAAGGUACAAAAUGAUAGUAUUUUCUCUUGUUUAGAGGUACAGAAUCCACUUUAUUUUUAGAUCUUGACAUUCUAAAUACUUAUAUCUCUUCAAGAUAAAAAAAGAACAUUGUUUAUUUUAGUCAGUAUCUUUCCCUUUCUCAUUUGUUUAUACAUUCUUAAAAUAACCAUAUAGUUCUCAUUUAUCAAACUUCCCUAUUGCAUGUACAUUCUUUCUUCCUUCGUUAGGAUUUGGUAAGAGUGCUAUGAAUGUGUUAGAAUGGUGUAAAUGAUACUUGCUGUGUAUGAUUUUUUCCCCCUCCCCAAGCCUGCCAGGGGAGCGAGGUGUUAAAUCUCAUGAGAUUCUUUUACCAAGUCCAAGUUUUAAAUAAAUGAAACUUGUACAGACUCCAACAUACCAUCUUGAGAUAACCUCAGGCCCUGAAGUGUAUCGACAAGCAGAAUGAUCUCAGCCAAGUUGUAAAACUGUCUUUGAAAAGAAUAGCUGGAUGAAAAACAUUAGCAGCAACUGAAUCAAGAGAAAACGUGACUUCAAACUGAAAGGCACUCUCAUGGUAAAUACAUAGUAAAACCAUGUUCUGCAACUUCAUAUUUUCGUAAUGCUUUAAGCUACCCAAGGAGCCCAUGCAGAUAUGCAAAGCUACUCAUUGAGAAGCUCAGCUUAUCCCUACAUAUGCCAUCACCAGUUUUUCACUUAACGUUUUCUCCUCAACCCCUUUCUAUUUGGCUUCCAUUCUACUACUCACCAACCACCUUCAGUUUGCAAAAUCCUAUGCAGAUCUUACCUUAACUUUUCAGCAUCAUUCAGUAAGGUUAAAAACUUUUCCUUCUAGAUGGUUUUGGUGGCACCAGAGUCUUCUUGUUUUCUUCUUUCUUUUUUAGCUGCACUUUCUCAGUAGUAUUUGCUGGCUCUCCUUCCUUUACUCCAACUCUUACUGUUGUAGUUUCACUGAUCUUGGAUUGAGUUCCUCCCUUUGUUUUCCUAUUUAUACUCUCUGACUAAGGUUCAAAAUUGUCUUUAUCUGUUGUAAAAUCUGUGUUUCAAGACUAGAACUUCUCCUCUAAAUCCCAUCUAUCUGAUGACUGAUAGAUUUCAGACUGAACAUGCUUAGAAUAAAAUGCUUAGCCAUGGCUGUUCCCUGCUCCCUGGCCACAGUUGCCAUACACCUUCAUCCUUCCUCAGUUUUCUCAUGGUAAAUGUUACCAUCAUCCACUCAGUUAAUAAUACCUGAAACCAGGGAAAUGGUCCUGAAAUUAGUCCUUUUUUAAAUAUCACCUUCACAUGUAGCCAAUCAGCAAUUCCUACAAUUUAUAUUCCAGAAUAUAUGUCAAGUCCAUCUACUUUUUCCACCUCCACCGCUGUCACCUAGCUCAAGCCACCAUCAUCCUUCACCUAUUCUAUUGCAGUAGCCUCCUAGAAGGUCUCCUAGCUUCCUUUAUUAGCCCUGUACAAGCCAUUCUCUGCAUGGCAGCAGAAUAAUCUUUUAAAAACUGAAAUCAUACCAAUUACUCCUUACCCAAAAGUAUUGAAGGGUUCCUGUUGCAUGUUGAACAAAAUCUACACUCCUUAUCAUGGCCUAUGGAGUGCUUCAUGUUCCCAACCUUGGCAAUGUUUUUUAACAUGCUACCAGUUCUUUCUGUUUCUUACUAAGUCCAGCUCACAUUGACCUAACACACUAACCUCUUUCCUGUCUCAGGCCCUUUGCCCUUGCUGUUACCUCUCUUAGAACAUCCUUUGUUGCUUUGCAUAGCCCAUUCCUCCUCAUUCUUCAUUUCUCAGCUUAAAUGCCACUUCAUCAGAGACGCCUUUUUCAAAAACUUUACCUAAGUUUUUAUUUGUUUUUCUUUUUUCCUGAGCUGAUAGGAAGACAACUCUGUUAUCUUUAGGAUUUCAGAUGCUUUUAGAAUCAAACCUGGAAAGGAUACAAAAAGCAGAAGCAAAACCAACAUUUGGGAGAAGAACAGAUUAAGACAGUAGCUUAUAUUGAAACAUCACUUCUCAUUUGCUGUUUGGACAAUGGUGAUGGAACUGCUGCUUUAUUGCCCACGGAGAAGCGAAGUGAAGAGUCUAAAGUGGGUCUUGCAGUUACACUGGACAAAAGAAGUUUGAAACUGAGGCUUGGUCCUGAAGAAAACAUAGAGAAGCCUGACAGAUUAUAUAUAUUCACAGCUUUGACUUAAAGGUUGCUGGUUGACCAAUAAGUAAUACAAGAAGAAAUGGUCUUUUCUGGAAUUGUCCUUCUUUCCAGGUAUCAAUGGUGAGCAGAAGAGGAGCAGGGAAUGAUGAAAGACCACACAUUCUCCAAAAGUCACUAAGCACUGUCUGCAGAUGGAACAUUCAUAUUUUCACAUAGUAUAAGUCAUAUGAUCUUUGAUCCUCCAUGUAUUGCUAUCCAGCCAUUUACUUUAGAAUGUCAGCCUUUAUACUGAUAUCACACACAUGUUGUAAAAUGUAGUGAAGAUAAACGGGUGAAGUUAAACUUACAAUGCUUUUGCUGUUAUCCAUAAAAAUGCAAUAGGUAUUGCAUAGAAUUAGUUACAAGCACAAAACUGUGAUACCCUAUAUGCCCCUGUUACAAGAAAGUUGUCAUUUUACAUUAUGGGUAUUUAUUCGAUAUUUUCAUAGUUUAAUUACUAACAAAGCAUUAAUAAUGCCAGAUUGUGCUGACAAACAUUGCAGUCUCUGAAUAGGAGAAAGAAUAUAUUCUUUGCACCAUUAUACAAUGAUUUAGAACUUUAAUAGUGUGCUGGGGAAAAAACAUGUAUCUGUAACCUGAAAUAGUUGUUUUACCUCCCUGAGUACAAAAUAUGUCACACAUUCUCUCCUAAAUGUAUUCUCUAUUUUUACCAGUCAUUUUGUUGCUAAAAUGUAAGAUAUGGGGAUGGGAUGUGGGUGAUUGUCUCCGUCCUUUUGGGCUUCUAUAACUAAAAUACCUUAGACUGGGUAAUUUAUAAACAACAGGAAUUUAUUUCUCACAGUUCUGGGGGCUGGAAAGUCCAAGAUCAAGGCUGUGGUGGGGUUUGGCUGGCGAGGGCUCCAUCCUUCUUGCUAUAUCUUCACAUGGUGGAAGGAGCAAACAAACUCCCCCAGCCCUCUUUUACAAGGGCACUAAUAUUAUUUGUGAGGGCUCCACUCUCAUGACUUAAUCACCUCCCCAAAGACCCUACUUCUUAAUACUAACACAUUGGGGAUUAAUCUUCAACAUAUGAAUUUUGGAGGAACACAAACAUUCAGACCAUAGCAAUGUUUAUUGGGGUGAAUGCUCAUUUAACUUUUCCCAGAACAAUCCCUGUUAAGUCUGCUAACCUCCUGUAGUUAAUGAUAAAAUUUCCUUCAUUUUCCGAAGUGUUCUUGUUUGGAUUAUAAAUUAUGUAAUUACCCUAAUGACAAUUAACUAGACAUUUUUUUUCUUACUGUAUAGCACCAGUAUGGGCAAUUGCAGUGGCUUUCAAACUUGACUACAACUCAGGGAGAAAUACAUUUUUCAUCAUAACGUAGUACACACACACACACACACACACACACACACACACGCACACACACACACACAUACACUAGAUAAAGCAAAAGCUUUAGGAAAUGGUACUUGGAUAUUUUCAAAUAUAUUUUAGUCUGUUUUUUAAUUAAAAAUCUCUAGUCAUGAUACAUUAAAUUGACUUAUUGACCCACAGCUUGAAAAAACACCAAUAUUUUGGAUGUGUUUUAAGGUCAUAGAACACGCCUUCUGAUUUUUUUCCUUCCCUAGGUAAUCCUAUGCAAGUUGCCAAUCUUCUCUAAACAACACUCUUCUUCAUCUAUAAAGUAAAUAUUAAUACCUACCUGAAGGUGGCAGAGAGAGUUAACUGAGAUAAUUUGGUUAAUGAGCCUGAAAUCUAGUCAACACUUACUAAAGGUAAUUUCUUCUCCUCUCUUCCGCUUCUAAACCAACAGGACACAGCUGAAGUUCACAGGUUUGUAAAAGUGAAAAAAUAUUUUUCUUAACCCCCUGACCUCUAAAGUUUGGUCAGAGUGUUUAGCCACUGAUAAAACAUCUUUAAGCACUGUUACUUCUAUGUUCAACUAAAAGAGUCACUUUUCAGUAAUUUCCGGUCAAGCCCAUCACAAUAGCACUUGCAGCUUCUCAAAAGAAAAGAAAGAAAGAGAGAGAAAGAAAGGAAGAAAGAGAAUUGAAGGAGGAAAGAAGGAAAAAAAUCAUGAUGAAGAUUUUAAAACAUGUCUUAUUGAGGGAUGGGAUGGUGAGGAAGUUGAUUAUAGUGAUGGAUGUGACAGACAGGGCCCGUACUUCUGUUUCUGUUCUCAAACUAACAGUUUUCACACAUAACCGUUUUCACACAUAACACAUUAGUAGAAUUUCUUUUGAAUAUUUGCCUUGGAAAUAAAACAAUAAUAAUAUAGCAUUUAUUAUAUUUAUUAUAUAUAGAGUGUGUGUGUGUGUGUGUCUGUGUGUGUGUGUAUCCCACAUGUCCACAUGAGAAAUAAUGAAAGAAGAUGGAGCCCAAGUAAGAGAGUCCUGAUGCCCCAUAAUGCAGAGAGACAAAGAAGUGAUGAAAUCAAGUACUCUACCUCUGGGCCGCCAGAAUCCAGGCCUGGUUCCAGAGUCCUCUGGUUUUCACCGUGUUGGGGUGGGGCCUCCCCGGGUGCACAGCUUUUCUGCACUGGUUGGCAUCUACUGAACCUUAGGUGAUCACAGCAGUGGUAAAGACAAGCCAGCUUCCGUCUUUCCAUAGUUUGUUCCCCUGUACUUCAGGAGGGAGGGGAGCCCCUCUAUGGAAUGCAAUACACACUAGGCAUCCUAUCACUAUGUAAGAACUCAUCUUGCUCCCUCAUUUCACAUUACAUCUUUGACUGUCUUGCUCAGUUGUUUCACCUUGGCUAGUUUUUACUCUUUGGCGAGUACUCUCACAACUCUCUUGUAGGCAGGAGCCCAUUUUCUUUUUCUGAGUACUCUGGACUCCUUGCAUGGUGCUUCCUGGGCAAGGGGUGCUCAACAAAUUGUGCUGAUAAUUAAGUCAUUCACUCAAAAUAUAUUUAUUAAGCACCUAGUGACCAAGACAGAAAAAAGUUACUAUUGACCUUCAAAUCACCAAAUCUAAUGAUCAUUCCUUACUGCUCAUCUUCCUCCACCAUUGCUACCUUAGAGGCCUCCCGUGCCUGCCUCCAUUUCCCAGACUUACUGCUUGAUUCUCCCUGGCAAGCUUUCCCUUCACCAUUUUUUUUUCAGCACUUGUAAGGAACUGAAUCUGUCCCCAAUAGUACACAGUUUGAGUUAGAGCCAGGACUAGAACUCAGGCCUGCAUAUAAUCAAAGAUCAGAAAACGGCCAAAUCUUGGUGUUUCUAUUCACAGGGAGGAAACCCAGAUGGGCCUACUCACAAUACAUGCUUCCAAAUGAAAGAACGUUUUUCCCCCUAAGGACAUUGUUAGGACACUGUCUAGCUAGAAGAUAUUCAGAGAAAAUUCACUCCUUUACCUGCCCUAGGGAAAUGGGAAAAUUCAAUGUUUGAGCCAUUUACCCAAAAGAGUAAUCCAUGCUGGAAAUUUUGCUGAAAGUAUUCUUUUAAAAGGCCCUUCUGUCUUUAUUAUGACGAUAAGACUGCUGAGUCUGCCCAAGCAUAUGAGGUUGCAAAGAAUAUUUCUUUUUAUUCAGACCUUGUAUUCUCUACAUGAUGAAAGGAUUCUUGGCACAUAGUUGGCAAUUACUAUCUAGGUUUUCUGCAUAACAUAGGUUUUUUAAACUAAGCUUUUAACUCAAUAGACAUCAGGCUCCAAUGAAAAUACAUGUGGCCUAACACGAGCAGAAAUAAACACAAUUCUAAUCAACUUAACUGUUGACAAAAGCAUGUGGUUUCAUUGCUUGCGGCCAAAGUUGUAAGAGUGGACUCUGAUUUCUUGCAGGAACACCCCUCAUUUAUGUGUGCAAAUAGGGUAAUUAAGUGUCCAAUUACCAGAUUUGCAUUGGCAAAUGGGGGCUUUGUGUGGGUAAAAUUCUCCAUGGUUUGGGACCAGCUGAAACUUAGGUCUUUUCUUUUUGGAUCAAUCCCCCAACAAUAACACGGGCAUGAUGAAGUUCCCUUCUUGUCCUGAUCUGAAGCCAUGGCUGAAGACUUCCCUUAUUUUGGUAAUUCAGUGAAGCGGAGAGCCAAAGUUAGGAUCUGGGGCCUUUUCUUCCUUACUGUCUACUCUGAAAAAUAAUUAAGCAUUUCAAGUAUUUUCAGACUGACUUUUUUUUUUUCCUGCUGGCUCUGUAGAAUUGAUUACUAAGGUGAAAUACUUGUAAAUAUUCCUUUUAAAAAUUUAACCAUAUGGAAGCAUUAAGUUGAAAGACACUUCAUAAAACAACUUUAUUCUUUUCU
rnacentral:lncRNA from 1 species